CCAAUAGCGUAUAUUAAAGUUGUUGCAGUUAAAAAGCUCGUAGUUGAAUUUCGGGAUCAGUAUGUCGGUCGUGCCUUGGUAUGUACUGGUUUCACUGAUUCCUCCCUUCUGAAGAACCAUCAUGCCAUUAAUUUGGUGUGGUGGGAAAUCAGGACUGUUACUUUGAAAAAAUUAGGGUGUUUAAAGCAGGCUAGCGCUUGAAUACAUUAACAUGGAAUAAUGAAAUAGGACGUUAAUCCUAUUUUGUUGGUUUCUAGGAUCGACGUAAUGAUUAAUAGGGAUAGUUGGGGGCAUUAGUAUUCAAUUGUCAGAGGUGAAAUUCUUGGAUUUAUUGAAGACUAACUACUGCGAAAGCAUUUGCCAAGGAUGUUUUCAUUAAUCAAGAACGAAAGUUAGGGGAUCGAAGACGAUCAGAUACCGUCGUAGUCUUAACCAUAAACUAUGCCGACUAGGGAUCGGAUGAUGUUAAUUUUUUAAUGACUCAUUCGGCGCCUUACG
rnacentral:rRNA from 1 species